GCAGCUUUAAUUUUAAGUUAUAUUCUGUUAAUAACAUUGUGCUGCAACCUCAGACUGGGAUUAGUAAUUUUAGUUUCUUUUAAGAUUUCCCAGUGUGAUUGGCUGCAUAGAUGGCACACACAUUCCCAUCACGGCUCCCUCACUUAAUGAAGCCGAUUAUGUGAAUAGGAAGUCCAUUCACAGCAUAAAUGUACAGAUCAUAUGUGAUGCUGCAUACAUCAUUUCCAAUGUGGAGGCCAAGUGGCCUGGGUCUGUUCAUGACUCGAGGAUAUAUCGCAAGUCUAACCUGAGCAACAGACUGCAACGUGGAGAGUUUGAUGGCCUUCUGCUGGGUGACAGGGAUUA